rnacentral:misc_RNA from 1 species
GAUGAAGAACGCAGCGAAAUGCGAUAAGUAGUGUGAAUUGCAGAAUUCAGUGAAUCAUCGAAUCUUUGAACGCACAUUGCGCCCCUUGGUAUUCCAUGGGGCAUGCCUGUUCGAGCGUCAUUUGUACCUUCAAGCUCUGCUUGGUGUUGGGUGUUUGUCUCGCCUCUGCGUGUAGACUCGCCUCAAAAUAAUUGGCAGCCGGCGUAUUGAUUUCGGAGCGCAGUACAUCUCGCGCUUUGCACUCAUAACGACGACGUCCAAAAGUACAUUUUUACACUCUUGACCUCGGAUCAGGUAGGGACACCCGCUGAACUUAAGCAUAUCAAUAAGCGGAGGA